UAGGGAAUCUUCGGCAAUGGGGGCAACCCUGACCGAGCAACGCCGCGUGAGUGAAGAAGGUUUUCGGAUCGUAAAGCUCUGUUGUAAGAGAAGAACGUGUGUGAGAGUGGAAAGUUCACACAGUGACGGUAACUUACCAGAAAGGGACGGCUAACUACGUGCCAGCAGCCGCGGUAAUACGUAGGUCCCGAGCGUUGUCCGGAUUUAUUGGGCGUAAAGCGAGCGCAGGCGGUUUAAUAAGUCUGAAGUUAAAGGCAGUGGCUUAACCAUUGUUCGCUUUGGAAACUGUUAAACUUGAGUGCAGGAGGGGAGAGUGGAAUUCCAUGUGUAGCGGUGAAAUGCGUAGAUAUAUGGAGGAACACCGGUGGCGAAAGCGGCUCUCUGGUCUGUAACUGACGCUGAGGCUCGAAAGCGUGGGGAGCAAACAGG
rnacentral:rRNA from 1 species